UAGGGAAUCUUCCGCAAUGGACGAAAGUCUGACGGAGCAACGCCGCGUGAGUGAAGAAGGUUUUCGGAUCGUAAAACUCUGUUGUCGGAGAAGAACAAGUAGGAGAGUAACGGUUCCUACCUUGACGGUACCCGACCAGAAAGCCACGGCUACCUACGUCCCAGCAGCCGCGGUAAUACGUAGGUGGCAAGCGUUGUCCGGAUUUAGUGGGCGUAAAGCGAGCGCAGGUGGUUUCUUAAGUCUGAUGUGAAAGCCCACGGCUUAACCGUGGAGGGUCAUUGGAAACUGGUCGACUUGAGUGCAGAAGAGGGAAGUGGAAUUCCAUGUGUAGCGGUGAAAUGCGUAGAGAUAUGGAGGAACACCAGUGGCGAAGGCGGCUUCCUGGUCUGUAACUGACACUGAGGCUCGAAAGCGUGGGGAGCAAACAGG
rnacentral:rRNA from 1 species